AAGUGUAGAUUAAGCGGUCCCUAUUUCUAAGUCUUUGUCUUCCGCAAUCCAUUCAUAUUUAGUUUCUAUAUAUAUGAGGAUGUGAACACAAGUUGUUUGGAGUGGUGAUUUUCCGUAGUUUACCAAGUAUGUGAAACGGGAUUCAACAUGACAGUAAAAAAGAUGCAGAACUAUAUAUCAUCUUUACAAGAUUCCUUUUGAUUUUAAAAGUGUGAAGUCAAGACUAACAAAAUCCUAUUUCUGACAGUAGUUUAUUUCUACCAUAUAAAUUACGUGGCGUAGCACUGUCAUUUAGGGGCUCUAAUGUUCUAAUUCUGAUUAUAUAUAACGGAGAGCCGAAAGCAAGCUUGCAUAUAUAAUGAAGAGGAUACAUCAGAGAUAUAUAUAAGGGUAACCGCUUUCUACUAUUUUAUUUCCACUGCUAAUACUUUUAUGUUCUUUCUUAAAAUACAAUUUGUAUUUCAUGUUAUCAAGUAAACAUCAGUGUUGAUGGUGGGACUUGCUGAGGCGGAGUUAUUGGUUAAUCCAUGACUAACGGGGCACAGCUCUCAAUUGCCCUGAGCAUUAAUUUUCUCUUGGAAUAAAAUGUUGCAUUCUUAUACCUUCCGGGAAGAGUUGAAGAAUGAUUGUUCUCAACGUUUUGCAUUAAUUAACUCAAAUAGGCAUGUGGUUAAAUCUUUUAACUUUACCGAGUAACUAUGGGACAGUCACAAUGAGAUGACGAGUGUAUAAUUUUUUUUUAAUUUCAAUUAGUUUUUGAUUAACUAUUGAGCAUAUUUUUAUGUAGGCUCUGCAAUGUUAAAUGAAAAAUAG
rnacentral:lncRNA from 1 species